rnacentral:rRNA from 1 species
UACGAAGGGGGCUAGCGUUGUUCGGAAUUACUGGGCGUAAAGCGCACGUAGGCGGGUUGUUAAGUCAGGGGUGGAAUCCUGGAGCUCAACUCCAGAACUGCCUUUGAUACUGGCAACCUAGAGACUGGAAGAGGUUAGUGGAAUUCCCAGUGUAGAGGUGAAAUUCGUAGAUAUUGGGAAGAACACCAGUGGCGAAGGCGGCUAACUGGUCCAGCACUGACGCUGAGGUGCGAAAGCGUGGGGAGCAAACAGG